rnacentral:rRNA from 1 species
ACAGUCACUGACAUUAGAUACCCGCGUAGUCCAGGGUGUAAACGCUGCAGACUUGGUGUUGGAAGUCCUUUGGGGGCAUUCAGUGCCGGAGAGAAGUUGUUAAGUCUGCUACUUGGGAGUACGUCCGCAAGGAUGAAACUUAAAGGAAUUGGCGGGGGAGCACCGCAACGGGAGGAGCGUGCGGUUUAAUUGGAUUCAACACCGUAAACUCACCAGGGAAGACUGUUACAUGAAAGCCGAGAUGAAGACUCUGCUAGAUUUUCAG